rnacentral:rRNA from 1 species
UCGGUCCACGGGGGGCAGCAGUGAGGAAUAUUGGUCAAUGGGCGCGAGCCUGAACCAGCCAAGUCGCGUGAGGGAAGACGGUCCUAUGGAUUGUAAACCUCUGUUGUCGGGGAGCAAAAGACGCCACGCGUGGCGUUCCGAGAGGACACGAAGAAAAAGCAUCGGCUAACUCCGUGCGAGCAGCCGCGGUAAUACGGAGGAUGCGAGCGUGAUCCGGGUUUAUUGGGUUUAAAGGGUGCGCAGGCGGAAG